CCUACGGGAGGCAGCAGUGGGGAAUCUUGCGCAAUGGGCGAAAGCCUGACGCAGCCAUGCCGCGUGAAUGAUGAAGGUCUUAGGAUUGUAAAAUUCUUUCACCGGGGACGAUAAUGACGGUACCCGGAGAAGAAGCCCCGGCUAACUUCGUGCCAGCAGCCGCGGUAAUACGAAGGGGGCUAGCGUUGCUCGGAAUUACUGGGCGUAAAGGGAGCGUAGGCGGAUAGUUUAGUCAGAGGUGAAAGCCCAGGGCUCAACCUUGGAAUUGCCUUUGAUACUGGCUAUCUUGAGUAUAGGAGAGGUAUGCGGAACUCCGAGUGUAGAGGUGAAAUUCGUAGAUAUUCGGAAGAACACCAGUGGCGAAGGCGGCAUACUGGCCCAUUACUGACGCUGAGGCUCGAAAGCGUGGGGAGCAAACAGGAUUAGAUACCCUGGUAGUCCACGCUGUAAACGAUGAGUGCUAGUUGUCGGCAUGCAUGCAUGUCGGUGACGCAGCUAACGCAUUAAGCACUCCGCCUGGGGAGUACGGUCGCAAGAUUAAAAACUCAAAAGGAAAUUAGACGG
rnacentral:rRNA from 1 species